rnacentral:lncRNA from 1 species
CAAAAAUUAGGUGGGUGUGGUGGCGGACAUCUGUAAUCCCAGCUACUCAAGAGGCUGAGGCAGGAGAAUGGCAUGAACCCGGGAGGUAGAGGUUGUAGUGAAUCGAGAUCAUGUCACUGCACUCCAGCCUGGGCAACACAGCAAGACGCCGUUCAAAAAAAAAAAAAAAAAACAACUUUCAACAUACUCAAAGAUAAGGUACUUAACCUGAGCUUUUAAUUGUAUUGAAUUAAAAGGCUUAGGCAUGGAUUUUAAGAAAGAUCACGGUCAGAUUUCUUGUGUAAAUCAGAGCCCAGUAGGAGAGAUAAGACUUUGCAUAUUUAAUUCUUUUUGGGUUGAUUUUUUUUUCUAAUUCUUUAAUUCUUUCUUCUUGCUUAAUUACUUUUUUUGGCAACUUCUAACAUUUAAUUUCAAAAAGGAUUAUGCUUAGUAAAGUCUAUCAGCACAGAAUAUGAUCUGAAGUUUAAAAACACCCAUUAACUUCCCUACAUUUCAUUGCUUAUGAAGACUUUUCCCCAUUUUUUUCAUUUUCUGUUUUAUAAUAACCUUAUUACUUUUACCAUGUAGUCAUUUUGCUGCAUAAAAUUUAACUAAUUCCCAUCAUAAUUGAGUAUAUUUUUUCCCUUAUGAGCUUGAUAUAUAUUUAAUCUUUUAUUUAAAAUAAUUAUUAGAACGGUUUUGUUUUUCUAAGAUUUUCACAUUUUCUAAUUUGAAAAUUGAUAUCUCCUUGAUAUUUCUUCUGUAGUACUAUAAUUUUAAAGAAACUUGUAUCUUUUAACAGGUCUAUGCAUAUCCACAGGAUGAGAAUAGAAGCUUGAAUACUUCUGGUCUUUCUCUUAUGGACAAGGGAAAAGGAAAAGCUAAUUUAAUUGUUAACAUCCUAUGAUUAAGCCUCAGUGGCAGAAAACUACUUCCUCUUUGACCUACCAAUGCUCACAUUUUCCUCUGGUCUUUGUCUAGCAUUCUGUCUGUGUCUCUUUCUCCUUUUCCUUUCUCCCUUUUUCCUUUCCUCACUCCCUCCUAGCUUCUUUGACCAGAAGCAAGAAAUCAAGUCAGCCUUUGCUACAAGCUGUCUCCCUGUUAAUGUCAGAAGAAGUAAAAUUUACAAGUUUGACUCCAGGCCUAAGCCAUGUUCUACAAGUCAAUUUUUCUCCAGACAAAUCUGCAUUGGGAUAUAUUAAGCAAGUUUUUAUCCUAUGUAGCUUCAGUUUUUUGAAUAUAUUCUUUAUUUGACAGAAAUCUAAAGAGGAUAAGACAUAGGCCCUCAAUAUCUAAUACAGUAUGAUUAAAAAAGUAGUUUCAUUAAUUUGAGAAAAGUAACCUGCAGUGAAUAAAAAACUUUUUUUUGAAUGUUUCUUCCAUGCCUAUACCUGUGCUAUGCAUAGUGGAAUUAGCAAAACUUAUGACAUAAUCCAAAACCUGAGGUUUAUAAUCCCAUUUGUAAAGUCAAGGCAUACACCACUGGAAUGACAAAAGAAUAUGAAGGUUGAUGCUGAACUGGAAUUAGGGGAAGUUUCUCACUACAGUGAAGUUUCUGCUGGGCCUUGGAAAAAAAAAUCUUGAUGUGUAAAAGGAUAAUUAGGUUGGAAAACUGGCACGACUUUCGUUUAAAAUGCAAAUGAACUUUCUCUUUCAAAAGAAAGUUUGACUUUGAAAUAUUAAGUAUGUAAGAUAUCACAAAAAGAAAUAUAUGAAAUAUUAUUGGCCUUUUCCAUUGGCUAACACUUAAUUGACUCUUUGGGGAAAAUAUUUUAAGUUAAUGUUAAGAAGUCAACUCCACUAUUUUUGCAUGCAUCAGACAUUUCCAAUCAAAUGACAUUAAUUAAUCAUGAACUUGUUAAAAUUAUUCUAGAAAUGUAAUAUAGUACAGAAUAUUCUUUAAGAAUGUUAAUUGUGCAAUAUCUUAAAGAAAAUUAAGGAUAGAAAAGUCUCACCAUUUAAUGUUUUCUCUAGUGAAAAGCAAAUAUGAAAUUAUUACCUAAUUUUCUGGGUCACUGUAUAAUCUAUCUGUCUCUAAAGAUCAGUUAUUUAUAUUGAGGAAAUAAAUAUUUUUUAUCUCAAAAAUAAUAAUCAACAUGGAUUAAGUGGUAGAAAAAGUUCUAUUAAUAUUUCCCCUGUGUUAUAAGACAUUGUGUGAUAACUAAAAGUAGGUUGUAUGAACCCCACCUGAAUUAAUACAAGAUUAGGCCAAAUAAUUGCUUUCCUGUUUGUCAAUUUUCUUUAUUAGAAGAGUAUUUGGGGUCACAAAGGAAUUUAAAAAACGAAGAGUACAAGUUACUCUUCUUUUCAAGGAUAAAUUGGCUUUGCUGAAUGUUUUCAUACAAGAGCAAAUGUUCUUCAUUAUUUCUCUUAAUAUAUAAAUUUUUUCUAGCAUUUUGGAGGUCUUUGACUUUGGCGACACAUUAAAAUCACAUGGAGAGAUUGUAAAUUGAAUAUCCAAGGUGCACCCUAGACCAAUUAAAUCAGGAUCUCUGCACGUAGGACCAAGGCAUCACUACUUUUUGAAGUUCCCCAGUGAGUCUAAUAUGCAUCCAAAUUUGAAGACUACUCCUUUGCGAAUACAAGGCCUCCCUCGCUGACCAGUAUUUUAGGACAGGAGUUCUCAACAGUGUCUCUUAGCGUGUUUUUAAUAUUAUAGAUGCUUUUCGAUCUUACCCUAAAAUAGCACAUAAACAUUUUAUACAUAUGUGGGAUAACCAUUAAAAAUAAGUAUAAACCAAUCACUCUUCUAGAGAUACAUAUAAAAAAGGUCAUCUCCUCUCAAUGGAAACAAAGAUUUUCUGUAUUAUUGAGAAGCAAUUUACAUAGUUUAAUUUCUUGUAUGCGCUGAGGACACUGUUUUCUCUAAGCCACCUACAUCAGAGAUUGGUUUUCCUCCCCUAAAUCUGUGAACCUUCAAAGGUGGAAAUACACUAAUGUGGUUACAAAAGUGGGCUUCACUGUGAGAUACACCUUGAUUAGUAUGACCUUCAUAUUCCCUUCAGCAUGCCUAAACUUUAGACAAAUUUCUUUCUGUUGGCUCUGACCUUCUUUUUUCUUAGAGCAUUUACUUUAGAAAACACAAUUGUCCAUUCUUUCUUUGCCCUUUUGUAAUAUAUGUAAAUCUUCUCCCAGACUCUUGACUGUCUUAGAACCACAGAAACGUCUUUUUCGAGGGCCUGGUACUCAUUUUCCUGAAAUAAAAAACAAUUGAACAAGACAGCACCCCUGUUUCCCAGUCUCUGUGGGAGGAUAGGAGCCUAAUUUCUUUGGGCACCAAUUAGCAAAUGGAGAUCACAGAGAAAAAUAUUUGCAACUCAGGAACAACUAAAUAUGCUCAACACAUCCCAUUUUUCUACCUCUGCCUCCCUUCCCUAAAUAUCUCCAGUACUUUUCCACUAUUUCAUCCCAGCAUUUAAAAUGCUCCUACUUUUUUUGCCAGGGAAGUUUAGUCUCUCGCCCUUAUUGCAAUAGUCUUAAACAAAGUCUUUCUUGCCUGUUGAACUUUGUUCAGUGCAAUUUUUACUUUGAUAACCCGCAUUUCAUACCUACCCUGUCACUUACUAGUAGUGAGACCAAUGAGCAAAGUGUUUCAACUCUCUAAACCUUCUCCAGUAAAAAAAAAAAAAAAAUACUCGUCACCUCAUAGGACUGUUCUGAGAAUAAAUUGUAUAAAUUAAUGUUCUUAACAGUUUGGUUAAGGUCAUGGAAUCCUCACAAUCCAAGGCAAGUAAAGGCAAGAAGAUUCAAAAUCUGGGUGUUAUUUUCAGAAGAAGAAAAAUGAAGCAUUGGCAGACAAAAAUAGCGUAUAAUUAGCUGUUAUUAAUGUUUUUACUACUAUAUUAUUAUUAUUACUGCCAAUGGGGAGCAGUUAUUUCCCCAAGCUGAAUAAUACCGCUCCUAUCACAAGGUUUCGCUACUUUAAGUUAAUCAUUUAACCAUAUGUACAAGAGACAUCAUAAAGCCAACUAUAAAUGGCUUUCUAGCUAUCUAAGGCUCUAAUACAUUAUAAUCAAAACAGAAGGCAUCAGUAGAGAGAGAUCUUGUGCGGUAAAUAGAUGAGAUGUUAACUUUCUCAGCAAUCUGUUGUUAUUCUCUUUUUAUAAAACCUUUAAAAUGAUAUGUAAAAGGGGGAAAACAUGCACUAGAAAUGGCAAGUGCUUGUUGAAACAGCACAAUGAAUACUUGUUGAGUUGCCAACUUUUGCCCUUUACCAAAAGUAGCCUUUAGAAAUACAAAGCUUUGAAUAAAUAGUGUACUCUUAGAUUUCUGUAAAGUAGUUCCAAGCCUCAAAUGAGAGUGAAGGUGUGUGUAAGAAGACAGAAAUGCAAGGAAUGACUACUGAUGGAAAAGAUCAUUUAUGUAACUAAGAAAAGCAGAGCUUCAGAUGCCUUGGAAUGUGAAGCUAUAGUUUAUCAUACUACUCAGUUGAGGGAAUUCUCCUUACUUGGGUGUUUUAGAAUCAAUUUUGUCUCUCAGUUAAUAUGAGAGGAAUUAAAUUAUUGUUACAAUAAUCAACCUCUUUGCUUUUUCUUCUCCCACACCACAUGCCCAAUAAACUACCAUUUCCAAAAUGACAUGCAUUGUUGAUUGCCUUUUUGUGAUAUAAAGCAUAUGACUUCACUUCAAUUACAGUGAAAUAUUAGAAGAAAAUUAUAGCAGAACUAUCACAGGCUCCUGUUAUCACAUUUACUUAUCUACUUUAUUUGUGUCCAUAAGUGUUACCUGUCUUCCAAUUAUAAUCAUGAACUGGCAGUGCCUGGAUUUUAAAGCAUGUGUGUAGAAAUCCAUCCAUUCUUACUGGUUUAAGAAGACACUCUUCUAAACAUUUGCUCUCCUUUCCUAAAUAUUUUCCUCUUUAAUUUAGCCUUCCCAAAUUAUACAAAUAUCUGACAUUUAAUAUUUAAAAAAAUUCUCUAUUGAUUUCACAUUUCCCUGACAGCAGGUGCUCUGGUUUCCUAUGAUGCUUUAGAAUUAAAAUACUCAAAUAAAUCUCUGUAUUCACUGUGUUCACAUCCUAUUCUGACAUUUUAUCUUGACAGUCUAAGCAGUCUAAGCAGGAUUCUCUCUCCACUAUUCAGUGGAAAUGGCUCUCAUCAAGGCUUCCAGUGACUUAGAUUUCUCAAAACAGUGGUCAACUCUCAGGCAUUAUCUUACUCAUUUGAUGUCUCCUAUUUUGAAAUACUUUGUUACCAAGACUCCCAGGUGAGCAUUCUCUUGAAAUUUGUUUAUGUCAUUGGCCAGUUCUUCCGUCUUCUUUGUUGGUUCUUCCUACUGCUAGAAAAACAAACAAACAAACCAAAAAAACCCAUUUAUUUCAUGCCAUUUUAAAUAGUAUUUAUAUGAAUACCAAACUAGAAUUUAAUGAGAUAAAUUCACACCUGGAAUAUAAUUAAAAAUAUAUAUAAGGCAUGUAAAAAUAAGAAAAUGCGACCCAUAAUGACAAGAUAAAUUAAUCAACUGAAACUGACCUAGAACAGAUUCAGACAUCGGAAUUAGCAGACAAGAACAUUAGUACAUCUAUUAAAACUGUGCACCUGAGCCAGGCAUGUGGCUCACACCUAUAAUCCCAGCACUUUGGGAAACCAAGGUGGGAGGAUCACUUGAGACCAGGAGUUUGAGACAAUAAUUAAUAGCCUACCAACCAGAAAAAAGUCCAGGACCAGAUAGAUUCACAGCCAAAUUUUAUCAGUGGUACAAAGAGGUACAAUUCCUUCUGAAACUAUUCCAAUCAACAGAAAAAGAGGGAAUCCUCCCUAAUUCAUUUUAUGAGGCCAACAUCAUCCUAUACCAAAGCCUGGCAGAGACACAACAAAAAAAGAGAAUUUUAGACCAAUAUCCCUGAUGAACAUCGAUGCAAAAAUCUUCAAUAAAAUACUGGCACACUGAAUCCAGCAGCACAUCAAAAAGCUUAUCCACCACAAUCAAGUUGGCUUCAUCUCUGGGAUGCAAGGCUGGU